GUCAUAGCCUAAUGGUAGAGCAUCAGCUUUGUAUGCUGAAGUUCCUGGGUUCGACCCCCAGUAUCUCCU